rnacentral:ncRNA from 2 species
UCCGAAAAGCGCGGGAGCUCGGGCGAGACCGGGCUGAGAGGGCGGAUUCUCCGACGAGACGUGCCGCCGACCGCAUGAACCUGUCCGGAUAAUGCCGGCGUAGGGAGCGUGUGAUGACAUCGG